rfam:Homo sapiens chromosome 1, GRCh38 reference primary assembly.
GCUGGGUGUGGUGGCAGGCACCUGUAGUCCCAGCUACUCAGGAGGCUGAGACAGGAGAAUUGCUUGAGCCCGGGAGGCGGAGGUUGCAGUGAGCCGAGAUUGUGCCACUGCACUCCAGCCUGGGCGACAGAGCGAGACCCUGUCUCAA